UACGUAGGGGGCUAGCGUUGUCCGGAUUUAUUGGGCGUAAAGAGCGUGUAGGCGGCCAGGUAGGUCCGUUGUGAAAACUCGAGGCUCAACCUCGAGACGUCGGCGGAAACCAUCUGACUAGAGUCCGGAAGAGGAGAGUGGAAUUCCUGGUGUAGCGGUGAAAUGCGCAGAUAUCAGGAAGAACACCAGUGGCGAAGGCGGCUCACUGGUCCGGUACUGACGCUGAGGUGCGAAAGCGUGGGGAGCAAACAGG
rnacentral:rRNA from 1 species